AACGAACGCUGGCGGCAUGCCUAACACAUGCAAGUCGAACGAGACCUUCGGGUCUAGUGGCGCACGGGUGCGUAACGCGUGGGAAUCUGCCCUUUGCUUCGGAAUAACAGUUAGAAAUGACUGCUAAUACCGGAUGAUGUCGAAAGACCAAAGAUUUAUCGGCAAAGGAUGAGCCCGCGUAGGAUUAGGUAGUUGGUGGGGUAAAGGCCUACCAAGCCGACGAUCCUUAGCUGGUCUGAGAGGAUGAUCAGCCACACUGGGACUGAGACACGGCCCAGACUCCUACGGGAGGCAGCAGUGGGGAAUAUUGGACAAUGGGCGAAAGCCUGAUCCAGCAAUGCCGCGUGAGUGAUGAAGGCCUUAGGGUUGUAAAGCUCUUUUACCAGGGAUGAUAAUGACAGUACCUGGAGAAUAAGCUCCGGCUAACUCCGUG
rnacentral:rRNA from 1 species